rnacentral:rRNA from 1 species
UACGGAGGGGGCUAGCGUUGUUCGGAAUUACUGGGCGUAAAGCGCACGUAGGCGGCUUUGCAAGUUAGAGGUGAAAGCCCGGGGCUCAACUCCGGAAUUGCCUUUAAGACUGCAUCGCUAGAAUUGUGGAGAGGUAAGUGGAAUUCCGAGUGUAGAGGUGAAAUUCGUAGAUAUUCGGAAGAACACCAGUGGCGAAGGCGACUUACUGGACACAUAUUGACGCUGAGGUGCGAAAGCGUGGGGAG